GUGUGUAUCUCGCUCUGAGAAUGGUCCAACAAAUGUAGGAGAUGAGUAUUCCGAUCCAGCUGUUAUGAAUUACCUGGGAGCAAGGAAAACAACCAUGCUGGGAAACAAUUUUUCCGAGUACCAUGUGGAUGACCCACCUCGCCUGGUGUUGGACAAGCUGGAGAAGAUCGGCUUCCGCGUGCUGACGAUGACUGGGGUGGGACAGACGCUUGUGUGGUGCCUCUAUAAGGACACGGAGUGAUUCAUCAAGCUGUGUUAGAUUUAUAGUAAUGACUGCAUUUCAAGGCCUUUAAGUGGGAGACUGAGUCAUUCUUAGAAGUUAGUAUAGUAAAGCUGUACAUUCAAUCCAUUAAUAACUACAAGGACGCCAUUGUCACAAGAGGGUAAAGUUCAGUAUUGAGAUUAUCCCCAACACACAGUUUCAGAUUACAUCAUAUGAGUUAUAGGGGGAUAAAAACACACACAUUCCAAAGAAUUAAUCAUUAACAUUGCUUAUUUACUCUUCAGUCAAAGGGACCAAGUGUAAUGGCCAGUUUUUUCUAUGAAUGUAUGAUGUGUGAAGUUGUUUAAAGGCAAAAUUAUCUGUGCAAAAGAUCUCAACCAUCCUUCUAUUCUGUCCAGAUGAAUAAAACCACAUGCUAGAUAGGUUUACUUA